rnacentral:rRNA from 1 species
AGCGGAGGAAAAGAAACCAACAGGGAUUGCCCUAGUAACGGCGAGUGAAGCGGCAACAGCUCAAAUUUGAAAUCUGGCCCUUGUGGUCCGAGUUGUAAUUUGUAGAGGAUGCUUUUGGUUAGGUGCCUUCCGAGUUCCCUGGAACGGGACGCCAUAGAGGGUGAGAGCCCCGUCUGGUUGGAUACCGAGCCUCUGUAAAGCUCCUUCGACGAGUCGAGUAGUUUGGGAAUGCUGCUCUAAAUGGGAGGUAUAUGUCUUCUAAAGCUAAAUAUUGGCCAGAGACCGAUAGCGCACAAGUAGAGUGAUCGAAAGAUGAAAAGCACUUUGAAAAGAGGGUUAAAAAGUACGUGAAAUUGUUGAAAGGGAAGCGCUUGUGACCAGACUUGGGCCCGGUCAAUCAUCCAGGGUUCUCCCUGGUGCACUUGGCCGGCCCAGGCCAGCAUCAGUUUGUCGCGGGGGAUAAAGACGUUGGGAAUGUGGCUCCUCCGGGAGUGUUAUAGCCCUUCGUGUAAUACCCUGCUUCGGACUGAGGUUCGCGCAUCUGCAAGGAUGCUGGCGUAAUGGUCAUCAGCGACCCGUCUUGAAACACGGACCAAGGAGUCGUCUUCGUAUGCGAGUGUUCGGGUGUCAAACCCCUACGCGUAAUGAAAGUGAACGCAGGUGAGAGCUUCGGCGCAUCAUCGACCGAUCCUGAUGUUCUCGGAUGGAUUUGAGUAAGAGCAUACGGGGCCGGACCCGAAAGAAGGUGAACUAUGCCUGUAUAGGGUGAAGCCAGAGGAAACUCUGGUGGAGGCUCGCAGCGGUUCUGACGUGCAAAUCGAUCGUCAAAUAUGGGCAUGGGGGCGAAAGACUAAUCGAACCUUCUAGUAGCUG